rnacentral:rRNA from 1 species
UACGGGGGGAGCAAGCGUUGUUCGGAUUUACUGGGCGUAAAGGGCGCGUUAGGCGGUCGUGACAAGUCACUUGUGAAAUCUCCGGGCUUAACUCGGAAAGGUCAAGUGAUACUGUCGGACUAGAGUACAGAAGGGGCAACUGGAAUUCUCGGUGUAGCGGUGAAAUGCGUAGAUAUCGAGAGGAACACCUGCGGCGAAGGCGGGUUGCUGGGCUGAUACUGACGCUGAGGCGCGAAAGCUAGGGGAGCGAACGGG